GGACUGCCUUUUGCAUAAUGAGCCUGCGAGUUGUGGUGUCUGGCAAGGUUAAGCAAACGCGAAGCCGUAGCGAAAGCGAGUCUGAAUAGGGCGCUUAGUCAGAUGCUGCAGACCCGAAACGAAGUGAUCUAUCCAUGAGCAAGUUGAAGCUAGUGUAAGAACUAGUGGAGGACUGAACCCAUAGGCGUUGAAAAGCCCCGGGAUGACUUGUGGAUAGGGGUGAAAGGCCAAUCAAACUUCGUGAUAGCUGGUUCUCUCCGAAAUAUAUUUAGGUAUAGCGUUGUGUCGUAAUAUAAGGGGGUAGAGCACUGAAUGGGCUAGGGCAUACACCAAUGUACCAAACCCUAUCAAACUCCGAAUACCUUAUAUGUAAUCACAGCAGUCAGGCGGCGAGUGAUAAAAUCCGUCGUCAAGAGGGAAACAACCCAGACUACCAGCUAAGGUCCCUAAAUCUUACUUAAGUGGAAAACGAUGUGAAGUUACUUAAACAACCAGGAGGUUGGCUUAGAAGCAGCCAUCCUUUAAAGAAAGCGUAAUAGCUCACUGGUCUAGUGAUUUUGCGCGGAAAAUAUAACGGGGCUAAAGUAAGUACCGAAGCUGUAGACUUGCACACAACUUAGAUUAUUUAAGUUUAGAAUAUGAGAAACUAAGUUAUAUGUUUAGUUAUAUUUUUACUGAUUUUUAUAGAGUAAAGAUAGAAAUAAAACUUAGUAAAAUCAGUAAAAAUAUUCUUAGACUAAAGUUAAGUAGUUUAAGUUGUGUGCAAGUGGUAGGAGAGCGUUCUAUUUGCGUCGAAGGUAUACCGGUAAGGAGUGCUGGAGCGAAUAGAAGUGAGCAUGCAGGCAUGAGUAGCGAUAAUUAAUGUGAGAAUCAUUAACGCCGUAAACCCAAGGUUUCCUACGCGAUGCUCGUCAUCGUAGGGUUAGUCGGGUCCUAAGUCGAGUCCGAAAGGGGUAGACGAUGGCAAAUUGGUUAAUAUUCCAAUACCAACAUUAGUGUGCGAUGGAAGGACGCUUAGGGCUAAGGGGGCUAGCGGAUGGAAGUGCUAGUCUAAGGUCGUAGGAGGUUAUACAGGCAAAUCCGUAUAACAAUACUCCGAGAACUGAAAGGCUUUUUGAAGUCUUCGGAUGGAUAGAAGAACCCCUGAUGCCGUCGAGCCAAGAAAAGUUUCUAAGUUUAGCUAAUGUUGCCCGUACCGUAAACCGACACAGGUGGGUGGGAUGAGUAUUCUAAGGCGCGUGGAAGAACUCUCUUUAAGGAACUCUGCAAAAUAGCACCGUA
rnacentral:rRNA from 1 species